UAACUGGCAGUAUGAUGGGAACCACUACCCCUGCAUCUUUUUAAACAUCUGAUUGUAGCACUAAUCUGUGCAACUUCUGAGAUGCACAGUUGCUUUGCUGUCUUGGUUAGAAAGGUGCUUUGGGAAACAUCAGUGGACAAAAUGGACAAACACUCCCUACCUUCAUGGAGUUCAUAUUCUAGCAGGGAAGAGAUGGGGAAUAAAUAAUGAGUAAAAAUAAAUAAUUGGACACCCAAAGGUGUCUCUCAUCAGCUGCUGACAACCCACAGCCCAAGACGCCCAUCUGGUUUAGCAAUUCCGGGGCAAAGAGAAGGUUUGCUACAGCUUUGGCAGAAAACUACCCGGGAGGUUGCUGAUUGGCAUCUUCAGUCGUAUCCUUGAACCAAUCACCACAGGCCUGAGCUACUGAAGGAUGAGCUCCUCGAGAUGCAUGGUGCUGGAUAGAAGGAUAUAGAAGGAAUGCCUGGGGACCUGGUAAGCGAAGAGAACGUCCCCAUGACCUGGGAAGCUGGCCCAUCUACAAAGCCCAUUCCUGAGGUCAUCACUACCUGGCAACUAAGACUCUUGGGCGUCUUAUGUCUGAUUCUGCCAUGAGGAAGCAGGGCUUGCCAAGGUCAGUCUCUGGUCAGGCACUGGAGCUGC